GUGCUGAAAUGCAUGGUGGGAAACAAUGUGUAAAUCAUUGACUGUUCCUGCAACGGUAAAAACGAAAGUUUAGUCCGAGCGCCACCCAGCAU
ncrna:unclassified sequences AdoCbl variant RNA